rnacentral:rRNA from 1 species
UACGAGGGGUCCUAGCGUUGUUCGGAAUCAUUGGGCGUAAAGCGUCUGUAGGUGGCUUUGUAAGUCGGGUGUGAAAGCCCCGGGCUCAACCCGGGAAGUGCAUUCGAUACUGCUCAGCUUGAGUGUUGGAGAGGAUAGUAGAAUUCCAGGUGUAGUGGUGAAAUACGUAGAUAUCUGGAGGAAUACCGGUGGCGAAGGCGGCUAUCUGGCCAAACACUGACACUGAGAGACGAAAGCAUGGGGAUCAAACAGG